UUGAAGAGUUUGAUCAUGGCUCAGAUUGAACGCUGGCGGCAGGCCUAACACAUGCAAGUCGAACGGCAGCACGGGCUUCGGCCUGGUGGCGAGUGGCGAACGGGUGAGUAAUACAUCGGAACGUACCCAGAAGUGGGGGAUAACGCAGCGAAAGUUGCGCUAAUACCGCAUACGUUCUACGGAAGAAAGUGGGGGAUCGCAAGACCUCAUGCUUUUGGAGCGGCCGAUGUCUGAUUAGCUAGUUGGUGGGGUAAAGGCCUACCAAGGCGACGAUCUGUAGCGGGUCUGAGAGGAUGAUCCGCCACACUGGGACUGAGACACGGCCCAGACUCCU
rnacentral:rRNA from 1 species